rnacentral:lncRNA from 1 species
CCUCUCCCCAGAGUAAGGUGGUGACCAUGCUGGGAAAUAACAUCUCACACCUCGCUCAGCUGCACUGGACUCCCAGGAGGUAACAGCCCCCAGGCGGCUCAGAAAACCCGAUGCACCCGGAAUCCACCCACUGACGUUGGUCUCGGGGACCGCGAGGUGACUUUCCUUCGGGGUCUGGGCUCCAUCGGCAACUGCCCCAACUCGCCUGGCCGUCUUAGACGUCAGGGACAGCAGCAGCCCCCCCGGGCAGCCUUCGUGACAGCAGCAGCAGCAGGGGAGGACUGGUCUGUCCCUGAUUGCAGGGCUCACCACUGCCUCCCCAGAGAAAACUGGAAUUUCAGGCGAGGAUGCCCCUCCUGCCAUGACACCCCUUCAGCUGUCCUGAUGCCGCUCUGCCACCAGCUGGCCCUCCCACCUCUGAGUUGGCUCACACCUCUGCUCUCUGUGUGGAUGAAGGAUCACGGCAGCACAAGAGAAGCUUCUUAGCCUGCAAACCACCUAAGUAUGAAGCUGGGACCAGGGCCCUGGUGACUGACAGUCCAACUGGGGUCAUGCCCACCUUGGGCUGGUUCUAGCCAAUGACGGGGCUCUGAGGAGGCACUGGUCCUGGGAGAUUCCUGCUGGACAUGGAACUUGAACAGGUGACUUGUGCUUCCAGUAUCUUCGACCACCUGAAGAGGUCUUCAUCAUUCUUAGAGCUGCACUAUGGUCUGAAGUUCUUCCUACCCAACUCUUCCUUCUCUCUCUCCUUACACAGGUGUCAGACUGCUUUGUGGUCUGAGGGCUCUUCCUGUCCACUCCUAUUUUUGUUGUUGUUUAGUUACUAAGUCCUGUUCGACUCUUUUGUGACGCUAUGGACUGUAGCCUGUCAGGCUCCUCUGUCCCUGGGAU